rnacentral:rRNA from 1 species
UAAUACGUAGGGGGCGAGCGUUGUCCGAAGUUACUGGGCGUAAAGCGCGCGUAGGCGGUUCUUUAAGUUGAUUGUGAAAUCUUCACGGCUUAACCGGAAAACUGCGGUCAAGACUGGAGAACUGGAGAUUGGGAGAGGGAAGUGGAAUUCCUGGUGUAGCGGUGAAAUGCGUAGAUAUCAGGAGGAACACCCAUGGCGAAGGCAGCUUCCUGGCCCAAUUCUGACGCUGAGGUGCGAAAGCGUGGGUAGCGAACGGGAUUAGAUACCCCGGUAGUCCACGCCGUAAACGAUGGAUACUAGGUGUUAGAGGUAUCGACCCCUCUAGUGCCGGAGCUAACGCAUUAAGUAUCCCGCCUGGGGAGUACGGCCGCAAGGUUG